rnacentral:rRNA from 1 species
UACGAAGGGUGCAAGCGUUACUCGGAAUUACUGGGCGUAAGGCGUGCGUAGGUGGUUUGUUAAGUCCGAUGUGAAAGCCCUGGGCUCAACCUGGGAAUGGCAUUGGAUACUGGCAGGCUAGAGUGCGGUAGAGGGCAGUGGAAUUCCCGGUGUAGCAGUGAAAUGCGUAGAGAUCGGGAGGAACAUCUGUGGCGAAGGCGACUGCCUGGACCAGCACUGACACUGAGGCACGAAAGCGUGGGGAGCAAACAGG